UACGUAGGAUCCAAGCGUUGUCCGGAUUUACUGGGUGUAAAGGGUGCGCAGGCGGACUUAUAAGUCAGUGGUGAAAUCUCACAGCUUAACUGUGAAACUGCCUUUGAUACUGUAAGUCUUGGAUCCGGGAGAGAAUUGUGGAAUUCCGAGUGUAGCAGUGAAAUGUGUAGAUAUUCGGAAGAACACCAGUGGCGAAGGCAGCAAUUUGGCCCGGUAUCGACGCUCAGGCACGAAAGCAUGGGGAUCAAACAGGAUUAGAUGACCCAUGGU
rnacentral:rRNA from 1 species